GUGGGUAUAGCUCAGGUGGUUAGAGCACCAGAUUGUGGCUCUGGGGGCCGUCGGUUCGAGUCCGAUUAUCCACCCCA
rnacentral:tRNA from 1 species